UGACCACGCGUCCGGAGCAGCGAACGGUCGGACCAGCGGACUCGGAGCGCGCACGCUGCUACCCGAAAGAUGGUGAACUAUGCAUGAGCAGGACGAAGCCAGAGGAAACUCUGGUGGAAGUUCGUAGCGGUGUUGACGUGCAAAUCACUCGCCCGACUUGUGCAUAGGGGCGAAAGACUAAUCGAACCAUUUAGUAGCUGGUUCCUUCCGAAGUUUCCCUCAGGAUAGCUGGCGUUCGCAUGCAGUUUUAUCCGGUAAAGCGAAUGAUCAGAGGGAUUGGGGACGCAAUGUCCUCAUCCUAUUCUCAAACUUUGAAUGGGUAAGAAGGCCGAUUUGCCUUGAGAAAUCGUGCCCAGCCGGAAUGCGUCGAACGGCUAGUGGGCUAGUUUUGGUAAGCAGAACUGACGAUGUGGGAUGAACCGAACGUCAGGUUACGGUGCCCAAUGUUCGGUGCUCAUCAGACACCAUGAAAGGUGUUGGUCGAUAUAGACAGCAGGACGGUGGCCAUGGAAGUUGGAAUCCGCCAAGGAGUGUGUAACAACUCACCUGCCGAAUCGACUAGCCCUGAAAAUGGAUGGCGCUCGAGCGCCGAGCCUGUACCUGACCGCCUGGGCAACGUUGUUGUCGGUCUCGCGCGUGCACUUGCUGCGGACGCUUGAAGGCCAAGGCGUGUAGGAAGAGGUCGCGACGGUGCGCGUUGAAGGUGUCGAGCGAGAGCUCGCCUGGAGCCGCCGUCGGUGCAGAUCUUGGUGGCAGUAGCAAUUAUUCAAGUGAGAACCUUGAAGGCCGAAGUGGAGAAGGGUUCCAUGUGAACAGCAAUUGCACAUGGGUCAGUCGAUCCUGAGAACGAGGCGAAAGCCCAAGCGCAACGGUGUGACGUCGUUCCUGACUUGUUCGCCGUAGCUAGCAGCACGCCGUACCGUUCGAAAGGGAAUCCGGUUGAAAUUCCGGAACCGAGACACGAAGAUGUACACCCGCGUCUCCGGUUGUCGCUUCCGCGGCCGCGGCGCCUCGUCGCCGCUGUCCGCUCGGUUUGCCCGACUGGAAGCACGCGGGACUGGUGCGCGCGGUAACGCCUCCGAACUCGGCGAGCAGCCGUCGGCAGUUCCGGAAAGAGUUUUCUUUUCUUCAUAAGGCACGCAGUCGCUGGAACCGGGUUGUCCGGAGAUAGCGACGAUGUCGCCGCAAAACGCCGCGUCUCCCGUGGCGUUCGGAACGCUCUCGACGGUCCGUGAAAAGCCGAGCUACGCCGUAUAAAUUCGUGCUCGCUCGUACCCAUAUCCGCAGCAGGUCUCCAAGGUGAACAGCCUCUGGCCAAUUGAACAAUGCAGAUAAGGGAAGUCGGCAAAACGGAUCCGUACCUUCGGAACAAGGAUUGGCUCUAAGGGCUGAACCGGUCGGGCUGAUGCUUCGAAGCGUGUUUGGUGCGGUCGCUGACUGCCGGUCCGAGGAGCUGCGCUUGCCCGGCGUCGCGUUCUCGCCGGCUGGGCGCGAGCGUGCGCGUGGCUUGUCCGCGCCGCGCCGUUGCUGCCGGACGUCUGCUACGCGUAGUCGAGGCGCUUCUUCUGAAGCCGCAGUCGGUAACGAAGCCUGCGCGCGGACGACUUCAGCUGUGUGCGCUUGUCCUGCUCGCGACAAGCCACUUCGUCCGGCAUUGAACAGCCGACUUAGAACUGGCACGGACACGAGGAAUCGGACUGUAUAAUUAAAACAAAGCAUUGCGACGGCCGGUGAUCGGUGUUGACGCAAUGUGAUUUCUGCCCAGUGCUCUGAAUGUCAAAGUGAAGAAAUUCAACCAAGCGCGGGUAAACGGCGGGAGUAACUAUGACUCUCUUGUUCUCAACAAGCUGAUGCAGUCAGCUGAAGCCUCCGGAUUCCAUCUUGUGCAUGAGCCCGUGAUCCGGGUGGAGGGCGACACGUUCAAACCGGAUCUGCUCCUAACAAGAGGUGAUUCAUGCUGGAUCAUUGAUGUAGCCAUACCAUGGGAGACAACGGACUCCCUAAACAGGCGGCAUGUUGAAAAGUGCCGCAAGUACGAGUGCCUCAAGGAGGCUGCCUGUAAGCUUACAGGAGCGAAAAACUUCGGCACCGGCGCCGUAGUCAUUGGAGCUCGGGGCGGCUGGUGCAGCCGCAACGACGACACAUUCAAGCUACUUGACUGGAAUGUCUCAGAGAGACUCAAGGCGCUACUUUGCACCAUAGCGCUCGAACGCACAGUCCAGUUGGUAAACUGGUUUAUGAGAAGCAGCACCCAGCUGGCAUUCCGAGCAGAUAGACGGGGGCGGAGCAUACACAACCGGACUUGACUAAACACCUGACUGUGACGUGCCACGGAGCAGCCCACUCCACAAAUGUGGCAGAUAAAACCAACAGGGGCACCGGUAUACGACAGCAGCACAAAGCCGGCCUACAUGUCCGGCCCGAAAAAGUUUCCACUGCGAGCACUGCAAUACAGCGACGCUCCAGUCGACAAGGACAACUAGACACACUUUCCGUUCAA
rfam:Trichuris trichiura, WGS project CBXK01000000 data, contig: TTRE_2045